CCAACGGCUCUUUUAAGAGCCACCUACGCAUUUCAGGAAAAGAGCU
rfam:Homo sapiens chromosome 6, GRCh38 reference primary assembly.